GGGCCCGUGGUGUAACGGGAACACAGCACCCUGCGACGGUCGCAGAUGCGAGUUCGAAUCCCGUCGGGCCCA
rfam:Acidobacteriales bacterium 13_2_20CM_55_8 13_2_20cm_scaffold_942, whole genome shotgun sequence.